rnacentral:ncRNA from 1 species
AAAAUAGUGUAGAAAGGGAAAAGUACUUUUAGGAAAGCUUAUAGAGAGCAAGGAAAUGGUGGAAACUUUGCAGCUUAAGUUUAAGGAAAAUCACCCUGGAGCUGGAGACUGAAAUUAUAGUAAGUUUUUUCGUAAUUCUGCGUUAAAGAAUAGGGUAUUAAAAAGUGCCUGAAGAUUAAACCAUAGGUGGUAUAUAAGCGAAUGUAACUUCGUCCUAUUU